AUUUAAAUAGCUUAUUUAGAGCAUGAUAUUGAAGAUAUCAAGGAGAUAUAAUUUAUCUUUAAAUA
rnacentral:tRNA from 1 species